GUAACCCCUUGUAUAAACUCUAUAUUUUAUUGGUUUUAGAGCACCCAACAAGUAGGUAGUUGUGUUCAUUGAUAAAAAGUAUCAAGGGCAACGAUAACAAACUAUUGAUCAACAAUUUGAGACAAUUUAUGCGUUAUUUCCAAUUUCCAGGAAAGUGAGGUUGCCCGCUUCUUUAGAGAACGACAAAUUAUUCGCAGAACAAAUACUGGCAACAAUUCUCAUCUACAACUACAAGACGGCUAUUCACCAUGAUACCUAAAAUCCGGUAAAAAGCUAGAUACUCGCACAUACCCACAAAAUCCCAUCGCCUACACUUAUACUCUGAUCAUCAAAACCACCAGAGUCUAAAAUAUCACAUCCAUCUCAAAAAAAGAAUAGUACCCAAAAACCCAAAUCCAACAAAACAACCAGAAUCAAGUAACUAAAACAAAC
rnacentral:misc_RNA from 1 species